rnacentral:rRNA from 1 species
AUACGUAGGGAGCGAGCGUUGUCCGGAAUUACUGGGUGUAAAGGGAGCGUAGGCGGGUCAGCAAGUCCGUUGUUAAAUCUAUCGGCUCAACCGGUAGCUGCGGCGGAAACUGUUGGUCUUGAGUGAAGUAGAGGCAGGCGGAAUUCCUAAUGUAGCGGUGAAAUGCGUAGAUAUUAGGAGGAACACCAGUGGCGGAGGCGGCCUGCUGGGCUUUUACUGACGCUGAGGCUCGAAAGUGUGGGGAGCAAACAGGAUUAGAUACCCUGGUAGUCCACACUGUAAACGAUGAUUACUAGGUGUGGGGGGUCUGACCCCUUCCGUGCCGGAGUUAACACAAUAAGUAAUCCACCUGGGGAGUACGGCCGCAAGGUUGAAACUCAAAGGAAUUGACGGGG